rnacentral:lncRNA from 1 species
AAGGUCCUAAUUGUGGUUAAGCCUCCUAUUUUAAAAUCUAAGGUAGUCAUUCCAUACAAAGUCAAGGGACCUUCACAUGCAGAAACUCAGAGCGAUAGUAGUCAUGGUGAUCAUUGUUGGAAGAAGGUAAAGCCAUCCUUGGCAAAGCAACGUGAUUCUAACUCCCAUGUGUAGAUUCUUGCUAGUUUAUCUAAGACUCCGCCAGCCAUCGAGAAGGUAAUGACUUAACUCUCUACUAUUUCAUAGUAUAUGAAUCGCCUUUAUAUACCCCUCAUAUGAUGUUUUUCUUUGUCUGUGGAGCCAGACAAUGUCCAAGUUUUGGAAGAUCCUCACCAAAGUAAGCCACAAGAUAGCAGCGAGUUUGUAGUAGGUCCAGACUCAAGAAAGUUUCUUUUGUCAUCCAAAGAGGUCACUUCUAACCCUUGCGGUAAAGUCAAAGCAAAUGUAAAGUCAAACUUUUCCCGACAGCUAGCGGUAGCCAUGUUUAUUUUUUAUGGCAAGAAGGUUAUUCCAGAGCUUAAAAAGAAUUUAUCAUGAAGGCUUGGAUU